rnacentral:rRNA from 1 species
CUACGGGGGGCUGCAGUGGGGAAUAUUGCACAAUGGGCGCAAGCCUGAUGCAGCCAUGCCGCGUGUAUGAAGAAGGCCUUCGGGUUGUAAAGUACUUUCAGCGGGGAGGAAGGGAGUAAAGUUAAUACCUUUGCUCAUUGACGUUACCCGCAGAAGAAGCACCGGCUAACUCCGUGCCAGCAGCCGCGGUAGUACGGAGGGUGCAAGCGUUAAUCGGAAUUACUGGGCGUAAAGCGCACGCAGGCGGUUUGUUAAGUCAGAUGUGAAAUCCCCGGGCUCAACCUGGGAACUGCAUCUGAUACGGGCAAGCUUGAGUCUCGUAGAGGGGGUAGAAUUCCAGGUGUAGCGGUGAAAUGCGUAGAGAUCUGGAGGAAUACCGGUGGCGAAGGCGGCCCCCUGGACGAAGACUGACGCUCAGGUGCGAAAGCGUGGGGAGCAAACAGGAUUAGAUACCCUCGUAGUC